GUGGGGAAUCUUGCGCAAUGGGCGAAAGCCUGACGCAGCAACGCCGCGUGCGGGAAGAAGGCUUUCGGGCUGUAAACCGCUUUCAGUAGGAACGAAACUGACGGUACCUACAGAAGAAGGAGCGGCCAACUAUGUGCCAGCAGCCGCGGUGACACAUAGGCUCCAAGCGUUGUCCGGAUUUAUUGGGCGUAAAGAGCUCGUAGGCGGUUGAGUAAGUCGGGUGUGAAAACUUUGGGCUUAACCCAAAGAUGCCACUCGAUACUGCUUUGACUUGAGUUCGGUAGGGGAGUGGGGAAUUCCUUGUGUAGCGGUGAAAUGCGCAGAUAUAAGGAGGAACACCGGUGGCGAAGGCGCCACUCUGGGCCGAUACUGACGCUGAGGAGCGAAAGCGUGGGGAGCAAACAGGAUUAGAAACCCGUGUAGUCC
rnacentral:rRNA from 1 species